CAGGCCUAACACAUGCAAGUCGAACGCUAUCGCAAGAUAGAGUGGCGCACGGGUGAGUAACACGUGGGAAUCUGCCCUUCUCUGCGGGACAACAGUUGGAAACGACUGCUAAUACCGCAUACGCCCUUCGGGGGAAAGGUCCGCCGGAGAAGGAGGAGCCCGCGUCUGAUUAGCUUGUUGGUGGGGUAAAGGCCUACCAAGGCGACGAUCAGUAGCUGGUCUGAGAGGAUGAUCAGCCACACUGGGACUGAGACACGGCCCAGACUCCUACGGGAGGCAGCAGUGGGGAAUAUUGGACAAUGGAGGCAACUCUGAUCCAGCAAUGCCGCGUGUGUGAUGAAGGCCCUAGGGUUGUAAAGCACUUUCAUUGGUGAAGAUGAUGACGGUAACCAAAGAAGAAGCCCCGGCUAACUUCGCGCCAGCAGCCGCGGUAAUACGAAGGGGGCGAGCGUUGUUCGGAAUUACUGGGCGUAAAGGGAGCGCAGGCGGUUCAUUUAGUUAGGCGUGAAAGCCCCGGGCUCAACCUGGGAACUGCGCUUAAUACUGAUGAGCUAGAAAACAGAAGAGGAUAGUGGAAUUCCCAGUGUAGAGGUGAAAUUCGUAGAUAUUGGGAAGAACACCGGUGGCGAAAGCGGCUAUCUGGUCUGAU
rnacentral:rRNA from 1 species